rnacentral:tRNA from 1 species
GUGGGUAUAGCUCAGUGGUAGAGCACAUGCUUAGCAUGCACAAGGUCCUGGGUUCAAUCCCCAGUACCUUUA